rnacentral:misc_RNA from 1 species
UUUAGAAGGUUGUAAUGGGCAGGCAGGCAGUGCAAGGAAAGUGAAGGCACAUUGUAGGCGCGGUUGGCAGGCGUGCAACAGUGUUUGUGUGGCCACGCGCGUCUCCCGGCACACUCCGCGACACCUCGAUGUUUGGGUUUAUUUAGGUUUAGCUUGAAAAUUACAAAUCUACAAUGAGUUUUGAGUCGACCACCAGUUCUGCGCUCCCUGAAGGGGAGACCCGCACCAACCUCAUCAUUAAUUACCUCCCACAAACUCUAACUGACCAAGAGUUUUACAAGAUAUUUGUUGUUGUUGGACCUAUUAAAAACUGCCGCAUUAUGAAGGACAUGAAGCAGACUGGCUAUUCAUUUGGCUUUGGCUUCGUGGAGUACCAGAAGCCAGAAGAUGCAGCCAAGGCCAUCCUACAGUUGAAUAACCUGCCGGUGCAGCACAAACGUAUCAAAGUGUCUUAUGCUCGGCCACCGGGAGAAGACAUUAAGGAAACUAACCUUUAUAUACAGAAUAUUCCUAGAUCAUACACAUUAGACCAGCUUGAAGAGUUAUUUUCUGUAUAUGGUCAAAUUGUGCAGAAAAAUCUUCUAAAGGACAAAGUAACUGGACUUCCGAGAGGUGUUGGUUUUGUCAGGUUUGAUAAAAAGUCACAAGCUGAGGCGGCAAUCAGUGGCAUGAAUGGCGUGGUCCCUGAGGGUGGCACAGAGCCCCUAGUGGUGAAGGUGGCAGAAGAACAUGGAAAGAUGAAGGCAGCUUAUUAUGCUGGAUACCAUGCAGGAAUUAACAAUUUGAGAGGUGGAGGAGCUGGCCGAGGGCGUGGAAACUAUAAUAGCCGUGGAGGCAGCGGCGGUGGCGGUGGAGGUUACCAGGGUCGUGGCAACUACAAUAAUAUGUAUCAUCACAGGUGGUACUGAGCCGAGGAGUGGAAGGUGAUGCCAGCGCCACCCGCCCUCAUCCUCCUCGCAAGCAGCAGAAUCGUCAGUACCACCAGGGCGGCAAGAUGGCCCCAGACCGAACUGCCAAUCGCUAUAACCCCAUCGGCA